rnacentral:rRNA from 1 species
UAAGGAAUAUUGCUCAAUGGGAGAAAUCCUGAAGCAGCAACGCCGCGUGGAGGAUGAAGGGUCUAUGACUUGUAAACUCCUGUAAAGAAGGAAAAAAUUCCCAUUUGAUGGGCGAUGAUGGUACUUCUGGAGUAAGCCCCGGCUAACUACGUGCCAGCAGCCGCGGUAAUACGUAGGGGGCAAGCGUUGUCCGGAUUUACUGGGUGUAAAGGGUGCUCAGGCGGAUUUGUAAGUCAGAGGUGAAAUCUUACAGCUUAACUGUGAAACUGCCUUUGAUACUGCAAUCCUAGAGUAUGGAAGAGAGUGAUGGAAUAUCUGGUGUAGCAGUGAAAUGCGUAGAUAUCAGAUAGAAUACCAAUGGCGAAGGCAGUCACUUGGUCCAUUACUGACGCUAAAGCACGAAAGCGUGGGUAGCAAACA